AAAUCCUWRUUGUGUCAACAAGGAUAACGUAAGGGAAAAUAAUGAUAUUACCUUACUAUUAGUGUCGUCCAAGUGCUCGUGCCAGAAGACUCGGUAAGGCGAGAGACGCAAACGUUAUUCGUCUUGAUCAGGCGUAAAGGGUAUGUAGGCGGUUUUAAGAAUUCAAUAAAAAAGUUUAUUAAUAUAAUACUAACAAAACAAAAAGGUGUUAUAAUUUUUAAAACAGAAUCAAUUAAAGCUAGAAUCUAACAGAGGUUAAAACAAUACUUAUGGUAGGUGUACCAACCUAAGAUAAUAAGUAGAGUUUUAAGGGCGAAGGCAUUUACCCACUAAAGAUUGACGCUGAGAAACGAAGGUGAGGAAAGAAAAAAGGAUUAGAGACCCUUGUAUCCCUCACUGUCAACGAUGAAUGGUAGUUACUAGUAAGAAAUAAACUAGAGGCGAUGUUAACACGUAAACCAUUCCGCCUUGUGAGUACGACUGCAAAGUUGAAAACAAAAAAAUUAGUCGGUUUCG
rnacentral:rRNA from 1 species